ensembl:ncRNA F41E7.17 ncRNA
UCACUCUCCGAGAAAGUGAAGAUAGUUAGUUGAAAGUUAGUAACGGUGUGUGGAAGCGACAUUGCAAACACGCCGGCUCUCCUCCCGUUUAUUCCGUUUGCCGAUUUGGGGCUCAUUUGACAGUUCGAUCACACA